AUUGAACGCUGGCGGCAGGCCUAACACAUGCAAGUCGAACGAGUGGCGGACGGGUGAGUAAUGUCUGGGAAACUGCCUGAUGGAGGGGGAUAACUACUGGAAACGGUAGCUAAUACCGCAUACCAUCGGAUGUGCCCAGAUGGGAUUAGCUAGUGGGUGGGGUAAAGGCUCACCUAGGCGACGAUCCCUAGCUGGUCUGAGAGGAUGACCAGCCACCCGGGAACUGAGACACGGCCCAGCCUCUUACGGGAGGAAGCGGUGGGGAAUAUGGGACAAUGGGCGAAAUCCUGAUGCAGCCAUGCCGCGUGUAUGAAGAAGGCCUUCGGUUUGUAAAGCACUUUCAGCGAGGAGGCGUUACUCGCAGAAGAAGCACCGGCUAACUCCGUGCCAGCAGCCGCGGUAAUAC
rnacentral:rRNA from 1 species